rnacentral:rRNA from 1 species
AUUGAACGCUGGCGGCAUGCCUUACACAUGCAAGUCGAACGGCAGCACGGGAGCAAUCCUGGUGGCGAGUGGCGAACGGGUGAGUAAAGUAUCGGAACGUGCCCAGUCGUGGGGGAUAACGUAGCGAAAGUUACGCUAAUACCGCAUACGAUCUAUGGAUGAAAGCGGGGGAUCGCAAGACCUCGCGCGAUUGGAGCGGCCGAUAUCAGAUUAGGUAGUUGGUGGGGUAAAGGCGCACCAAGCCGACGAUCUGUAGCCGGUCUGAGAGGACGAGCGGAGACGGUGGGAAUGAGACACGGCACAGACUCCUACGGGAGGAAGCAGUAGGGGAUUUUGGACAAUGGGCGAAAGCCUGAUCCAGCCAUGCCGGGUGCAGGAUGAAGGCCUUCGGGUUGUAAACUGCUUUUGUACGGAACGAAAAGGUUUGGCCUAAUAAGCUGAGCUUAUGACGGUACCGUAAGAAUAAGCACCGGCUAACUACGUGCCAGCCGCCGCAGUAA